CUUUUUAUAAAUGUUAUUUAUUGUCAAUCAAGAAAUAUGUGAUGAAUGUAUCCUUAUAAAAUGCUUUAUUUGUGAGUUUAAAAUAUUUAGAACCUUUAAUCUUUGUUUAGUCGUACUGAAUAUGUAUGAAAUGGUUGCCACUGGACAUAAAGCAUUCUUUAACAUGACAUAUUUCAACUAAAUAAACGUAUAUCGAUAAACGAGAAAAACGCCUGUACGACAGCAACCCAACGACUCAACUUUCUUCAAUUAAAAAGAAGUUGUUUCUAUUUAUUUUAAUUUGUUCAUACAACUCCCUGAUUACCUGAUAGCCAAUGAUAUAUAAUAGUGUAUAUGAUACAUUUUCAGCAUAAAACUGUGAUUAUUACUGUGAUAUAUGCAUAUAAAAAAAUGUGUUUACGCUUUUAUUCUGACCUUAUUUUGUUGUUUACAAUUUAUUUAUGUUUAAAUUUUGAUGUAAUUUGGUAUAUAGCUGUGGAUUAUUUGUUAUAAUAUAGUAAGCUAUAAUGGUCAACAAAAGAAAUGAUACAAGGCAAUGCUUUCUUCAUAAUAUAUAGAAAUUGAAUACAGUAUCAAGAUAAGAAAAAUGACCAAUUAGUCAAAUGUUUACAGUGUGCCGUUUUUUCGUCAAAGAAAUCGAUUAAAGGCAAAAAACUGAUUUUAUACGACCGCAAAAAUUGAAAAAUUUUUCGUCGUAUAUUGGUAUCACGUUGGCGUCGUCGAUCGAAGACAUUUGGUUUUCGCACUCUAACUUUAGUAAAAGUAAAUAGAAAUCUAUGAAAUUUAAACACAAGGUUUAUGACCGUAAAAGGAAGGUUGGGAUUGAUUUUGGUUGUUUUGGUCCCAGCAGUUUAGGAAUAAGGGGUCAAAAGGGGCCCAAAUAAGCAUUUUCUUGGUUUUCGCACAAUAACUUUAGUAUAAGUAAAUAGAAAUCUAUGAAAUUUUAACAAAAGGUCUAUGACCACAAAAGGAAGGUUGGGAUUGAUUUUGGGAGUUUUAGUCCCAACAGUUUAGGAAUUAGGGCAAAAACAGGUCCCAAAUAAGCAUUUUUCUUAGUUUUUUGCACUAUAACUUUAGUAUAAGUUAAUAGAAAUCUAUGAAAUUUUAAGACAAGAUGACCACAAAGAAAAUGUUUGGAUUGAUUUUGGGAGUUUUGGUCCCGACUAAUUAGGGGCCAAAAGGGGCCAAAUUAAACUUAAUUUGUUUGAUUUCAUCAAAAAAUGAAUUAUUGGGCUUCGUUGGUAUGCCAUAUCUGACCGUGUCUUCAGAUUCUUAAUUUUUGGUCCUGUUUUCAAAUUGGUCUACAUUAAGGUCCAAAGGG
rnacentral:lncRNA from 1 species